rnacentral:rRNA from 1 species
CAGGCCUAACACAUGCAAGUCGAACGCGAAAGCUCCUUCGGGAGUGAGUAGAGUGGCGAACGGGUGAGUAAUACGUAGGAAUCUACCCAAGAGUGGGGGAUAACCCGGGGAAACUCGGGCUAAUACCGCAUACGCCCUACGGGGUAAAGCGGGGGACCUUCGGGCCUCGCGCUUUUGGAUGAGCCUACGGCGGAUUAGCUUGUUGGUAGGGUAACGGCCUACCAAGGCGACGAUCCGUAGCUGGUCUGAGAGGAUGAUCAGCCACACUGGGACUGAGACACGGCCCAGACUCCUACGGGAGGCAGCAGUGGGGAAUAUUGGACAAUGGGGGCAACCCUGAUCCAGCCAUGCCGCGUGUGUGAAGAAGGCCUUCGGGUUGUAAAGCACUUUCAGCAGGGAAGAAAAGCCCGGGACUAAUACUCCCGUGUCUUGACGGUACCUGCAUAAGAAGCACCGGCUAACUCCGUGCCAGCGGCCGCGGUAAUACGGAGGGUGCAAGCGUUAAUCGGAAUUACUGGGCGUAAAGCGCGCGUAGGUGGUUUGGUAAGUCGGGUGUGAAAGCCCCGGGCUCAACCUGGGAAUUGCAUUCGAUACUGCCUGACUAGAGUGUGGUAGAGGGAAGUGGAAUUCCGCAUGUAGCGGUGAAAUGCGUAGAGAUGCGGAGGAACACCAAUG